GAACGAUGAAGCCGCUUCGGUGGUGGAUUAGUGGCGAACGGGUGAGUAACACGUGGGCAAUCUGCCCUUCACUCUGGGACAAGCCCUGGAAACGGGGUCUAAUACCGGAUAACACUCUGUCCCGCAUGGGACGGGGUUAAAAGCUCCGGCGGUGAAGGAUGAGCCCGCGGCCUAUCAGCUUGUUGGUGGGGUAAUGGCCUACCAAGGCGACGACGGGUAGCCGGCCUGAGAGGGCGACCGGCCACACUGGGACUGAGACACGGCCCAGACUCCUACGGGAGGCAGCAGUGGGGAAUAUUGCACAAUGGGCGAAAGCCUGAUGCAGCGACGCCGCGUGAGGGAUGACGGCCUUCGGGUUGUAAACCUCUUUCAGCAGGGAAGAAGCGAAAGUGACGGUACCUGCAGAAGAAGCGCCGGCUAACUACGUGCCAGCAGCCGCGGUAAUACGUAGGGCGCAAGCGUUGUCCGGAAUUAUUGGGCGUAAAGAGCUCGUAGGCGGCUUGUCACGUCGGAUGUGAAAGCCCGGGGCUUAACCCCGGGUCUGCAUUCGAUACGGGCUAGCUAGAGUGUGGUAGGGGAGAUCGGAAUUCCUGGUGUAGCGGUGAAAUGCGCAGAUAUCA
rnacentral:rRNA from 1 species